rnacentral:rRNA from 1 species
AUGGAACCUGCCCCUGUCAGGGGAAUAGCCCAGGGAAACUUGGAUUAAUGCCCCAUGGUACCGCGAUAUCGCAUGAUAUUGCGGUUAAAGAUUUAUCGGACAGGGAUGGCCAUGCGUACCAUUAGUUAGUUGGUGGGGUAACGGCCCACCAAGGCAGCGAUGGUUAGGGGCCCUGAGAGGGGGAUCCCCCACACUGGUACUGAGACACGGACCAGACUCCUACGGGAGGCAGCAGUGAGGAAUAUUGGACAAUGGGCGGGAGCCUGAUCCAGCCAUGCCGCGUGCAGGAUGACGGCCCUAUGGGUUGUAAACUGCUUUUAUACGGGAAGAAACGCACCUACGUGUAGGUGUCUGACGGUACCGUAAGAAUAAGGACCGGCUAACUCCGUGCCAGCAGCCGCGGUAAUACGGAGGGUCCGAGCGUUAUCCGGAAUCAUUGGGUUUAAAGGGUCCGUAGGCGGGCCUGUAAGUCAGGGGUGAAAGUUUGUGGCUCAACCAUAAAAUUGCCUUUGAUACUGCAGGUCUUGAGUCAUGGUGGGGUCGCCGGAACAUGUGGUGUAGCGGUGAAAUGCAUAGAUAUCACAUAGAACACCGAUCGCGAAGGCAGGUGGCCAACCAUGUACUGACGCUGAUGGACGAAAGCGUGGGUAGCGAACGGGAUUAGAUACCCCGGUAGUCCACGCCGUAAACGAUGGAUACUAGCUGUGGGGACUUCGGUCUCCGUGGCCAAGCGAAAGUGAUAAGUAUCCCACCUGGGGAGUACGUUCGCAAGAAUGAAACUCAAG